UGAUCCUGGCUCAGGACGAACGCUGGCGGUGCGCCUUAUGCAUGCAAGUUGAGCGAAGCUUUUCAGUAGUUUACUACAGAAAAUGACUGAGCGGCGAACGGGUGAGUAACGCGUGAGCAAUCUACCUUAGUUACUGGGAUAGCCCGAGGAAACUCGGAUUAAUACCGGAUAUUCUUAUUUUUUCACAUGAAGUUUUAAGGAAAGGUCAGCCGAACUAAGAUGAGCUCGCGUUCUAUCAGCUAGUUGGUGGGGUAAAAGCCUACCAAGGCAACGACGGAUAGCUGGUCUGAGAGGACGAUCAGCCACACUGGGACUGAGACACGGCCCAGACUCCUACGGGAGGCUGCAGCAGGGAAUAUUGUGCAAUGAGCGAAAGCUUGACACAGCGACACCGCGUGUGGGAUGACGGUUCUAGGAUUGUAAACCACUUUCAGGAGGGAAGAAAAUGACGGUACCUCCACAAGAAGACCCGGCCAGCUAUGUGCCAGCAGCCGCGGUAAUACAUAGGGGUCAAGCGUUGUCCGGAUUUAUUGGGCGUAAAGAGCUCGUAGGCGGUUCAACAAGUCGGUCGUAAAAGUUUAGGGCUCAACCCUAAAAUGUCGAUCGAUACUGUUGUGACUAGGAUACGGUAGAGGUGAAUGGAAUUCCGAGUGUAGCGGUGAAAUGCGUAGAUAUUCGGAGGAACACCAAUUGCGAAGGCAGUUCACUGGACCGUGAUCGACGCUGAGGAGCGAAAGCUAGGGGAGCAAACAGGAUUAGAUACCCUGGUAGU
rnacentral:rRNA from 1 species